rnacentral:rRNA from 1 species
UGUAUAAUGGGUCAGCGACUUAUAUUCUGUAGCAAGGUUAACCGAAUAGGGGAGCCGAAGGGAAACCGAGUCUUAACUGGGCGUUAAGUUGCAGGGUAUAGACCCGAAACCCGGUGAUCUAGCCAUGGGCAGGUUGAAGGUUGGGUAACACUAACUGGAGGACCGAACCGACUAAUGUUGAAAAAUUAGCGGAUGACUUGUGGCUGGGGGUGAAAGGCCAAUCAAACCGGGAGAUAGCUGGUUCUCCCCGAAAGCUAUUUAGGUAGCGCCUCGUGAAUUCAUCUCCGGGGGUAGAGCACUGUUUCGGCAAGGGGGUCAUCCCGACUUACCAACCCGAUGCAAACUGCGAAUACCGGAGAAUGUUAUCACGGGAGACACACGGCGGGUGCUAACGUCCGUCGUGAAGAGGGAAACAACCCAGACCGCCAGCUAAGGUCCCAAAGUCAUGGUUAAGUGGGAAACGAUGUGGGAAGGCCCAGACAGCCAGGAUGUUGGCUUAGAAGCAGCCAUCAUUUAAAGAAAGCGUAAUAGCUCACUGGUCGAGUCGGCCUGCGCGGAAGAUGUAACGGGGCUAAACCAUGCACCGAAGCUGCGGCAGCGACA